AAUUGGGGAGAAAGUGGAGAAAG
rnacentral:piRNA from 1 species